rnacentral:lncRNA from 1 species
ACCCACUGUCCAUCCACCCACCCAUCCGUCCAUCCACCCACCCAUCCAUCCAUCCGUCUGUCCAUCCAUCCAUCCAGCCAUCCGUCCAUCUACCCAUCCAUCUAUCCACAAAUUCAUCCAUCCAUCCAAGUGCUUACUCUGAUCCAGCACUAUAUCAAAUGCUUGAGGGAGAAACAUAGAAUUAUGAGAUGUGAUCCCUGCCCUCUAGAUAUUCCUGGUCUAGGCAACAUUGCUGCAGAGAAACAGGCACAGAUUUUCGGAGCCCAGCUUCAAAUCCUAGCUCCCUCAUUUACUAGGGACACCUAGUAAAUGAGCUUCUCUUUGCCCCAGCUUUCUCACUGAAAAACGGGCUAACAAUUUCUAGAUUUCAUGUUUCUCGUCAUGUUUCUCGUGAGGACAAAAUGGGGUGUCAUGUAAAGCGCCUGGCCUGAGUUAGGUGCUCAGGAACCAGGUUCCACCUCAGGCCCUCCAAAAGCAGGCUUGGGAUAGAAGAUGACUGCGGUGAUGCAACGGUUUUCACUGCACUAAGAUACCGGAUUCACUAGUCCAUCUUCACUCCCGACCCUCCCCAGCAUGGAGACAGCCCAGCCUUAGGCAGGCCUUCCAGGUAGCUUAGGGAUCCUCACCUUUUGCAAAGAUGCGAGUCUCAUGCCUCUGGGAACUUACAGAUUGUUCUAAAUGCCCAGUGGGGGCUGGAAGCUGAAGGGUUUGGUGGGCUUGAGUCAGGGAGGGUGGGAGACACAGGGCAGCCAGGUGAAACCUGGCAGCCCUUCUCUUUGACACGAAGGGGAGGUGACACGUGUAUCUCCAGGUCCUUGCAGAGACGCCUGACACACUUGGCACCAAGAAACAUUUCUGAAUGAAUGCCUGAGCUGGGAAAUUCACCCUCUGCCCAGCCUGGCUUUCUUCCCUCACGCUCCCCGCUUCCCCGAGAGGUGGAAUCAUUGGUUCUGAGCAGCUGCAGCCAGAGGUCACCAGAGCAUCGUGUCGCCGCCCGGGACUCCUGCACCCCAGCCCCUGCUUCUGGAAGACCCCAGCAAACACCAGCAAGUGGCCUGAGACACCAGUAACACCCUUUAGCCCUCUUGGCAGCUCUGCAAGUGGGUGCUAUCAGAUCUCAGCCUGCAGCCUGGGGGUUGGUAGCACCCACCCUACCACCCAGUGAGAGAGGGCUGUGCCCAGCCCUGUCCAUCCCAUCUGCUUCCCUCCGGAGGAGCAGAAGCCACACCAGAGGGGCGAGGUGAGAGGGGAGGGGAACGGACAGGGCAAAGGAGGGGAGGGAUGUGGGUCUCUGGGGG